GACGAACGCUGGCGGCGUGCUUAACACAUGCAAGUCGAACGGAAAGGCCCUGCUUUUGUGGGGUGCUCGAGUGGCGAACGGGUGAGUAACACGUGAGUAACCUGCCCUUGACUUUGGGAUAACUUCAGGAAACUGGGGCUAAUACCGGAUAGGAGCUCCUGCUGCAUGGUGGGGGUUGGAACGUUUCGGCUGUUGGGGAUGGACUCGCGGCUUAUCAGCUUGUUGGUGGGGUAGUGGCUUACCAAGGCUUUGGCGGGUAGCCGGCCUGUGAGGGUGACCGGCCACAGUGGGACUGAGAUGCGGCCCAGACUCCUACGGGAGGCAGCAGUGGGGAAUAAUGCACAAUGGGCGGAAGACUGAUGCAGCAACGCCGCGUGCUGGAUGACGGCCUUCGUGUUGUAAACCGCUUGCGCCUGAGACGAAGCGUGAGUGACGGUAAUGGGUAAAGAAGCACCGGCUAACUACGUG
rnacentral:rRNA from 1 species